GAAGGAGGAGCAGGUCUGGGCCGGCAUGGAUGUGGGUCGCCGCAGACUGGGUCGCGGGUGUGCGACUUUGUGCGCGUGGGAGGAGCGGCCUGGUGGCAGCUGGGCCAGUGGAGGGAGGCGGGCCGGUGUGCGUGCGUGGACACGAGCAUGCCGGGCCGGAAUGGGUGUUGGGCUAGGGAAAGAGGUGGCAGGCCGAGCUGGCUGCAAAAAUGGGAAGGGCGGCCCGUGAGGGGGUUUCUAGGAUUCUUCUAAUUUGUUUGUUUGGGGUUUAGUAGUCAAAUUUGAAAUAGAUUUCGAAUUUGGCUAGGGUUUGAGAUUUGGGUUGGGGUAGAGAGGACAUUUGGAAGAAUUUGAAGUUUGGGUGAGGUGGGAAGGAGCUAGGAUUGGGUGGAAGCCUUAUAGGGUUUCCGGAUAGAAUUAAUAUUCAAACUGGGUUCGAAUAUUAAUUCCAGGAUUUGAGAAUGAAAGAUCUUGAAGGUUCCAUUUCUAGGAUCUGGAGAGUUAGACUUAGAGUAGGUUUUCUAAAGGGAGCAACCAAAUACAACACAUAUGUUGGUAUUUUAUGCAUGUUUUACUUGUAAAAUUGUUUUGAAUGUUGAGGAAAGAGAGAAUGUGUUUAGUUUGAAGAAAAUUUUUAAAAAGUGUGCAUUUUUAAAUGCUCUAAAAAGCAGGAUGUUACACAAAUAACAUGUCUAGUCAUGAAAAGCCACUAAAGAACCAACAAACUCCCUUCAAGCUCCCCCUAUCUCUACUCCCCCUGUCUAUCUCCC
rnacentral:lncRNA from 1 species